UGCAAGCCGAGCGGUAUUUGUUCUUCGGAACAGAGAGAGCGGCGUACGGGUGCGUAACACGUGUGCAACCUGCCUUUAUCUGGGGGAUAGCCUUUCGAAAGGAAGAUUAAUACCCCAUAAUAUAUUUUACGGCAUCGUAAGAUAUUGAAAACUCCGGUGGAUAGAGAUGGGCACGCGCAAGAUUAGAUAGUUGGUGAGGUAACGGCUCACCAAGUCAGUGAUCUUUAGGGGGCCUGAGAGGGUGAUCCCCCACACUGGUACUGAGACACGGACCAGACUCCUACGGGAGGCAGCAGUGAGGAAUAUUGGACAAUGGGUGAGAGCCUGAUCCAGCCAUCCCGCGUGAAGGACUAAGGCCCUAUGGGUUGUAAACUUCUUUUAUACUGGGAUAAACCUACUUACGUGUAAGUAGCUGAAGGUACAGUAUGAAUAAGCACCGGCUAACUCCGUGCCAGCAGCCGCGGUAAUACGGAGGGUGCAAGCGUUAUCCGGAUUUAUUGGGUUUAAAGGGUCCGUAGGCGGAUCUGUAAGUCAGUGGUGAAAUCUCAUAGCUUAACUAUGAAACUGCCAUUGAUACUGCAGGUCUUGAGUGAGAUUGAGGUAGCUGGAAUAAGUAGUGUAGCGGUGAAAUGCAUAGAUAUUACUUAGAACACCAAUUGCGAAGGCAGGUUACCAAGUCUUAACUGACGCUGAUGGACGAAAGCGUGGGGAGCGAACAGGAUUAGAUACCCUGGUAGUCCACGCCGUAAACGAUGCUAACUCG
rnacentral:rRNA from 1 species